ACUGUGGUCAACCAUGUGGGAAUCCAGAGCCUUAACCACCAUACCACCCACUGGCCCUGGUUCCUGUUCUUCAAGAUCAUAGCUGUGGUAGAGUGAGACAUGCCAGACUGGCAAGCAAUAACCUUCCCUGACUCUCAUCUUAGAGUUCUGAAUUAUUUUUCAUCCUGUUUUCAGAUCCCUCACUCAAUGUGGCCUCUUACUAUGGUAACAUUAGAAGAGGAUUUUGCACAUGCAGAGGCCACACCGAACAAAACAAGAGAACUCUCCCAGAAGAGGACCACAGAGACUGAAGGAAUACUAACGCUAUGUGACAACAGAAGAACCCGCAACUCACCUUAGACCUUAGAGGAAAUGGAUGGAGGUGCUGGUACCUAACAGUCAGAAGCCACACACUCUCUUCGGAGUACGAUCACCUAGACUUGCAGGUAAAAGGCAAGCAGAGCCACAUCAGUGGACAGGCAUGAGAGGGACUUACAGUGGCCGGAAGUCUGAAACUUUUAACAAUGAAGCACAAAUGCUGGCAUGUAAGAAAUGCAGGUACAGAGAUAUAGGCAAAGAAGGUAUCUACAGCCAGAACUGGGGGAAGGCAGCGAUCUUAGCAGCUAGGAUUCAACAGCUGGCCUCCAGGCACAUCAGCUUUAGGAGAACAACCGGGCGUGUUUGCCUUGGUAUACCCGACGCACAGCAGGGUCGUCAGGACGCUGCAGAAAAGGCCUGCCGGAUGGCGCAAAGGCAGGACGUGGAGAAGACACGCUCCGCAGUGAAGCAGCAGGGGGGAGUGUGUACAGGAAGGACAGCGUAACUGGAAAAAGCAGCAAAGAAGAGGAGCCCUAGAAAAGCUGAGUAACCCUUUCUUUCCUUUACCAAAAUAUAAGGAAAAAGCAAAUGCAAAAAAGGGAAAAAAGGAAGAAUUUAACUGAUUCUGAAAUAAAAAUAAAUUAUAAUGGUCUUGGGUGGAAACACAAGGGUUGUAAGUUACACCCCAACUAUAUAAAAGUUAACAAGCAUGAAAGGUAUAGAAAAUCAAGAGAAAGGAAGAGGGAAAAAAGUCUGUCCUUUACUUUGAAUAUUUCAACGUAAACUACUUGAGGUGUGGGGAUGCAAUUUCUAGGGUACACAAUACUUCAAAAGAUGCCAAGGUAGGGACCAGCAGUUAGCGUAAUGGCUAUGUCACUGGACUCUCA